AUUUAUUUAGGAUAAUAAAAAUUUUAUCUCUUAGGUAAAACUGAGGAAAAACACAACAGGAUUAAGAGUCUUGUGGAAAUAAAAGAAGAGGUAUUUUUACUUUCAAUUCUGUGGCACUUCCAUCGAUGAAGUUGUAUCUGCUUGAUGUGUUGAUGUUCCAACCUCUAAUUUUCUGAAAGCCCUUAUUACGAGUAGUCAUUCUGCAUUAAGUCAGUGUUGUUUGUGAAUCGGAACUCCCACUGUGCUCUAAACAUGGGACUGUGGUUCAUUCCUUUCCCUGUGAUUCUUUUACCCUGAUUAACAAACAGGAGAGAGAGGGUUCCAAAAAGCAUUUGAUAACUAGUUUGUUUACUUGUUUGCUCUACAAGUAUUUGGUGAGUGCCUGCCACAUACCAGACACUAUGCCAAUUGCUAGGGAUAAAGCAAUGAAUACGACAGAUAUUUGUCUUUGUCUGCGUGUAGCUUAGAACCUAGUGAAAUGAAAGAACAAAUCCUCAACCAAACAUUAUCAAGGUGUGUAUGGCAGAAACCAACACAAUAUUGUAAAUAAAUUAUCCUUCAAUUGAAAAUAAAUAAAUUAAAAAAGUAUUAUCAAGGUGGUGAGUGCUACAUAGAGGGAAGUUCGAGGCACUCUGUGCACACAAGGGCUCCAUAAGAAGGCUUACAUGGAGGCUGAGCUGAGACUUGAAGGAAGUUUUGAAAUCUUAUACUGUAGUCUUCAUUUAUGUGAAGAGACCUCAUCUAAGAAAAAAAAAAAUUAAAUGUUUCUAUUCAUCAGUUUAUGCUCCUGAGUGUCCUGACCCAUAGAGAUGCUCUAGCAUAAAGAAUGAAGGAACAGGGUCACUGACUUCUUAUUCCGAGGUUUAACUCUCCUGAGGGCUCUGAGCAUAUGAAAUGUUUGUUUUCCCUUUAAUCUUGACCUAAGCUCUUCAUUUUGUCUACAAAAAAGCCUAAAGUGUCACUUGUGAUUAUUGAAAACUUCUUGUAUCACCUCUUUCCUACAACCUUUCUCUUCAAGGAAAGUCAACACAAAGUCAAGUCCUCUUCAAGGAAUUCACAAUUUACUUUAGAAUAGCAGUUCUCACCCCAGAUACAAUUCAGGGAACUCAUAACUUGGAUGAGAAAAAAUUACAUCCUUACUUCAGUCUUAAUUUUACUUAUCUAACCUCUAACUAAAAUGUAGCAUCACUUUCUCUUCCCAUCCCCUUGUAUACCACUUACUGUUGAUUCUGCACACCAAAACUGUUACAAGCAGCAUUAGACAAAGACUGAGCCUUGAAGAAUCCCAUGGGUGGGAUUGGACCUGCCCACCAGUGCUCACUCUCUAUAAGAGCCCAGGGUGCUAGAAAUCUCUAAAUGCGUCAUCAAGCACCUGGGACUUUUGAAAAUGUAGCAUUACUUUCAUUAUAAAUACGGACAACAAACCAUGAAAGUAUCAGCAGUAACUGUGACUUUACAGACCAGUAGGAACCUAAGAUGUUUUAUAUCAUACAUAAAAAGAUACUGUAUAUAAUAUUUUACAGCUGUUAACAUAUUUUCAAAUUUGUCUUUUUGCUCACUACUACUUUAAGUUAUGGCUUAUUAGAUCUGCCAGGAGAUCAUAUGUGAUUGUGACCUUUCUACCUACAGCUGCUCAUGCUGUAGGCCUGGGCAACUCCAUGGCACUGAGUAGUCAGUCUUUCCAUUGCCAAAUGGUAGCAAAUUCUCAUCCUAGUGACCCAGGAUUGGAUGUUUGACUGGAUAGUUCAAAUGAGAUUUCUUAACUCCCUGUAAAGACACAUAUCUGUGUCUUUGAAAGUGUUAGUAGCUCAGUUGUGUCCAACUCUUUGCAAUCCCAUAGGCUAUAGCCCACCAGGCUCCUCUGUCCAUGGGAUUCUUCAAGGAAGAACAUUGGAGUGUGUAACCAUUCACUUCUCCAGGGGAAUCUUUCCGACCCAGCGAUUGAACCUGGCUGUCCCACACUGUGGGGAGAUUCUUUACCAUCUGAGGCACCAGGACAGGGAGUUAAUGUUGCACUGGAAUGUGUAAAUAGCCUUUACUUUGUCCUUUUAAAAGUAAAUUUUAACUUGGUUGUAUUUAAAAAGCACUAUCAUGUUAUUUAAUGUGUUAGUAAAAAUCCAUUUUUAAUAUUUUGCUAAUUAUUCUACAAUGGGUUUUCCUUUAUAACCUUAGGGGAAUUAAUCUUAUUUUGUGAAUUUAAGAACAUUUUUAUGAGAAGUUUAUAGGACAUGCCAAAUCAGCCAAGGAAUAAAAAACAAUGUUAAGAAACCCUGUGUUAGUAUAAUGCUCUCCUGGUUACACUGCAAUUAUGCUACAACUUCAACUAUAGAGUCCUUGUGGAGUUUCCAAAGGAGACCAAUGAACUUACACUGGUAAAACUUGUAUGCUUAUGUAAAGAACAUGGUAAAGGCAACCUCUUCUAACUUCCGUAUAGUCAUAUCUCUGGCACUCAGAUAUGUAAUCAUCAGCUUGGAUUUUUAAAAACAUUUUUAUUGAGGUAUAACACACACAGAGAAAUGUUCACAAAUCACAAAAUAUAAGCUAUCACAAAGUGAAUGUACCAUAAACUAUCAUCCAGGUCAGGAAACAGAACAUUCUAGCACCCCAGAAUUUUCCUUUCCUGCCCUUUCACAAUCACAACUCCUUCUCCAAGGUUAAUACUCUCUUCACUUUUGAUACCAUAGGUUAGUUUUGUCUGUUAGUGAACUUUACAUAAAUGAAAAUGGCUGUAAGAGUCAGCCAUGUUUAUGUGUAUAGCUACUGUCCAUUCUUAUACGCAGAGUACAUCAUGAGAAACGCUGGGCUGGAGGAAGCACAAGCUGGAAUCAAGAUUGCCGGGAGAAAUCUCAAUAACCUCAGAUAUGCAGAUGACACCGCCCUUAUGGCAGAAAGUGAAGAAGAAUUAAAAAGCCUCUUGAUGAAAGUGAAAGAGGAGAGUGAAAAAGUUGGCUUAAAGCUCAACAUUCAGAAAACGAAGAUCAUGGCAUCCGGUCCCAUCACUUAAUGGCAAAUAGAUGGGGAAACAGUGAAAACAGUGGCUAACUUUAUUUUUCUGGGCUCCAAAAUCACUGCAGAUAGUGAUUGCAGCCAUGAAAUUAAAAGAAGCUUACUCCUUGGAAGGAAAGUUAUGACCAACCUAGAUAGCAUAUUCAAAAGCAGAGACAUUACUUUGCCAACAAAUGUCCGUCUAGUCAAGGCUAUGGUUUUUCCAGUGGUCUUGUAUGGAUGUGAGAGUUGGACUGUGAAGAAAGCUGAGUGCCAAAGAAUUGAUGCUUUUGAACUGUGGUGUUGGAGAAGACUCUUGAGAGUCCCUUGGACUGCAAGGAGAUCCAACCAGUCCAUUCUAAAGGAGAUCAGUCCUGGGUGUUCUUUGGAAGGAAUGAUGCUGAAGCUGAAACUCCAAUAUUUUGGCUACCUCAAGCAAAGAGUUGACUCAUUGGGAAAGACUCUGAUGCUGGGAGGGAUUGGAGGCAGGAGGAGAAGGUGACGACAGAGGAUGAGAUGGCUGGAUGGUAUCACCGACUUGAUGGACGUGAGUCUGAGUGAACUCCAGGAGUUGGUGAUGGAGCAGGCCUGGCGUGCUGCGAUUCAUGGGGUCGCAAAGAGUCGGACAUGACUGAGCGUCUGAAUUGAACUGAACUGAAAGUAUAUCUCAUUGUUGUUUUAAGAAUAUUAAAUAUAUAAAUUUUAUGACAGAAAUUUACAUACCAAUUUUCUGAAAAAGAUGUUUCAACAGAAACAAGAAACAAGUUUUUCAUUAAAUAUAUGGAAACAUAUAAAAAUUAAGACCAUUUUUCUCUUACACUUUGCAUAAUUGAAAAAAAAGGAAUGUAAAUUACUGGGUUUCUAUCUGCUACUCUCUGAAAGGACUUAAUGAUAAUCAAGACCCACAUGAUGCCUAGCUCCUAGAAUCUAGGCUAUCCUAGGAUAGUUAAGAAGGUGGAGGUAGACAAAUGGACAGGUGUUAAUAAGGUAGCAUGAUAAGAGCUGAUGGAAACAUAUAAGAUGGCACUUAUCCUGUUUCAGGAGGUCUGGAAAUUGAGCUUUAAGCUUAUGUCAAAGGAUGAGGACAUUCCAUACAGGUGAACAUGUGGAGGUUAGGGAAUUAAAGACAAACAGAACCACUUAAAAGAAAGAAAAAGCCCAUCACUAUCAACUAGUUCACUGAGGGACUGACAUAAGUAAAAUAAAAAAGAUGGUGCCUGGAGGUAUCUGAAGAGCACAAGGUGCAAAGUUCUGGAGGAGUGGAAUGAGGGACACAUUGGCAGCACAGUGGGAGGGGCACUCUGGGUCCGCUUGGCACUUGUGUGCAUGGACACGUCACCUAUCCACUGCUGCUCUACCCAUGUCAUGCUGGGUGUCACUGGGUUCUCUGGUGCCACAGCCUAAUGUGGAUAAAGGGCCCAGAGGUGACCGAGCUGUAGAUGCUUUGGAGCAGGAAAUGAGGCAGGGUGAGCAGCGUGCUGCCACAACUGCCAGAAGUCACCCUGAAAGAAGACAUCUCAGUGGAUCCCAGCGUGGGUUUCUGAACAUUCCAAGGAAAGGUUCUCUUCUCCCUUUCCCAUCCCACUGACUUUAGCACGUAUGAGCCCCUUGAAAAUGUGAUACAAUCAGCAGAAGAGGAAAGAUACCUAAGUGGACUUAGGUAUAGUUUUUAAAGAGAUAUUGAAAGAGACACAAUUUUUCUUGCACAGUGAACUGGGAGUUUAAAUUAGAAACGAAUUUAUUAUGGCAGAUUCAAUAGUCACUUUCACUGUACACUAACUUAGGGGAGCAAGACCUGCACCUUCUACAGUUUGAGUGUUUUUUUCUUUUUUUCUUCUCAAGUGCUUGGCAACCCAUAUGAGGAGUGGAUUAGAUCCUCUCUGUGAUUAGAUAUUCUUUCGUGGGUUAGAGAUGUGAAGGGAGAACAACAAGAAAGAAGGUGGGAUAACACAGCAAGCAGUACAGUUCGAUGACACUUCACAGAAUCUAGACCUACCGGGAAAGAAAAUGAAAAAGAGAGAAGGUAACACGUUUGAGAGAAGCAGGCAGGCCUGGGAGCUCUUAGCGUUCACCGUGAGAUUCAGGGUCAGGUGAGACAGCACCAAAUGAAGGAGGAGAGAGAGGGAGGUAGGAUCAGGAAGCAGACUGUUAAUACUGUGGGAAUUAAAAUCUUGGACUUUUAAAAGCAGACAUUUUUAUUUUUAAUCCAAGUUCUAUCAUUUACUUACUGUACAACUUUAAACAAUAUACUUAAACAUUCAGAGCCUUGGUUUCCCUCUCAGUAAAAUGGGAGCUAUCAUGGUCUCUACUUUACAGGGUUGGAUUCAGAAUUAAAUGAAACAAUAAAUCUAAAGGUGAUAGCUCCGUGUCCUGGCAUGUGAUAAGUGGCAGCUAUUAUAGUUGGUAAUUCCUGUUAUGGAAUUCAGAUUGAUACAGCGUCUACAUUGUGGAUAGGGGCUGAUGCUCACAGUUUUAAGAUUGUGACAUCGAGGAGGUCACGAAUAUUGUCUUGGAUGACAAUCUCUAUAAACUCUGAAGUCAGUGCAGUGACAUGAUCUGGGAUAGAGAGAAGUUCUGUGAGCCAGAUACCAAAAAUGUACAUCAGCUAACAGAGACUGACCAGACAGUCAGAAGCAAUCGUGUGAAAGAAGGUUAUGAGCAUCAGGGUACCGGGAUGUUUUUCAGGGAAGAAGAAGGGGAGUUCAGAGUGGACACUGGGGAACCAAAAGGUGUGAGUUUUACUGCCAGUGCCGAUAUGGGUGAAAAAGAUGAAAGAGAUGCAAGAGGAAGGGUCCUCAGGGAGAACCAGGUUUCAAUUAGACUAAAAAUGGAACAAAGAGUUCCAGAAAGUGGGAGAAGGGUACUAGAAUUUGUUGAUUGUGGACAAAAGCAUCAGAGGGCACCUGGAAAGGUUUGGGAGGAAGAGAAGCACAGGAGGCUGGAGUGAUCGCAGGAGCCCUGAGCAGUGGCGUCUAUCAGAAGCUCCCUGCAGGACUCUACAGGAUCCUAUGGGUGACUCGUAACCCCUUUAGAAGAUCUUUUGAAAAGACCCAGAUUUCUCUGUGCUGUCAGGAUGGAAAAGGCAAAUAUGAUAAAUCACAAACAUGUACACACAGAUGAAAAAGAAAUCUGACUGGAGGGAAUCCAAAGUAUUAGCUAAUCAGUAUAUUUGACAAUACUUAUCCAUAACUCCCAUUCUACAGCAUCCCAAUAAAAAAACCCCAGAAACUUUCCUAAUGAAAUAAUGGCAUCGUUCUCUCUCUCAAAAGUACCAGAAAAUUACCUAGGCAUAUCCUAUUCAAGACAAGCACUAGUUGCUUUACUUGGCAAAUUCCAGAAGCUGUGAGGCAAUGAUUGGUUUUUAGGGAACCACUUUAGAGACUUCAUUUGCUUCAGUUUUAAAGCAUCUGGUGUUUAGACUGUCUCUGAGCAUGCUUCACAUCUAUUGAGAGGUCUUUGUCUUAUCCAGGACAUGGUCUCAUCUCAGUGCCCUAGACACCUUUAGGGGAACUGGAGAGAGCUGCUGUCUGAAAAACACAACUGCCAAAGUCAACUCUGACUGUGGCUUUGCUUCAAAUUCCAAGAGCUUUUCAAACAGUGGGGCUGAUGCUGCCAAUGCUAAAUAUUGCAUGUGAAGUACAAGAAACAUCCAUAUUGAGGAACACAAAUGAAGAUAAAAUCACUGUGUCAGGAAAAAUAAGAAAAACGGUUAUGGAAGUGCGCAGUGAUAGGCUCUGUUUCAUGUGUAAAUUCAUUAUUUUGUUGUCUCCAGGUAAACAGCACAAAGGUGGGAAAGAUUUGUAAGCCUUUGUGGCAGAUACAAAUUUUGUUAAAAAGUAAGAAGCAGUGAAGACAUCUGUCUGCCAGGACAAGCAACUUCAGACCAGAGGAAACUCUCUUCGGCUCAUUCAGACAUUUGGAAUAAAUCACUGGUUGCCGGCUGGAAAUAACUUGUUGGGAAGGAUUUCCUGAGACGCUAAUAUUAUGCUCGGAAAUUCAACGUGCUGAACAAAGACAGCACUGUUUCGGAGUUCUGCUGUGAAUCCUGUGCACCUGGGCACUGGGCAGGGAUGUCAAGGCACUUGCAUCCAUUAUUUGAAGUUGCAGGGGUCUCCCUCUGUGAGCACCAGAAGCUAUUGUAUUUGCAUAUGGUUUGGAAGAAAGAAUGUGGCAAGAACAUGGAGCUGGGGUCAGGCUGAACAGCAAGUGAAACUCUGUUUUGUCACUCAUGAUCUGUGUGACUUUAGUUUUGUCACUCAUGAUCAGUGUGACCUUAGGGACCUGUGCACACUCUCCCAGAGGUUAGUUUCCUAUAUAUAAUCUGAAGUGAAUGUGGAGUGAAAGUUGCUUAGUCAUGUCUGACUCUUUGUGACCCCAUGGACUAUACCGUCCAUGGAAUUCUCCAGGCCAGAAUACUGGAGAGGGUAGCAGCUGCCUUCUCCAGGAGAUCUUCCCAACCCAGGGAUCGAACCCAGGUCUCCUGCAUUGCACACAGAUUCUUUACCAGCUGAGCCACCUAGUGAUAAUCACAUGAUAUAAAGUAUGUAAGGCAUCUAGAAAAAAUUCCAGUUCUUAGAAAACAUUCAACAGCAUUUAUCAUACAACUAAAGCUCCAGAUCCAUAUGCUUAAUGGGAAAAGGAAGAGUAUAUUCCAUUAUAUAACAACUUUGCUGUUAGCUGAUUAUGUAUUCACACUAAGUCCAGAAGAGUUUCAAAUAGUUCUCCAGUUCAGGUUCCAGCAUCAAAAACCAGGUGGGUACAGAGGUUCUGGGUUAGGAUCCCUUAGGCUUUCAACAAAAGUUCAGCCCAUUAACCAGUGAACAUAACCAAGUGAGUGUGGGAAAGAGGGUUCAAGCUUCCUUGGAACUUAAGGAGGUAAUCAGACUUUUGAGACAAUCAAGAUGAAGCAUUCUCAGCAGUUCUCCUAUGAGUUACAAUAUUUAAAGACUUCAAUCCAUUCCUCAACUACAAGAGAUCCUUUGCCUCUCUGGCUUCUUCCUGUCAUGCUGUGUUUGUGUAUGUUGGAAAGGGUGAAUGCUGAAAAGGAAAAAGUCCCAUCCUGCCAUGGCUCCUCUGAUGGACUUCACACAGCUCUUACAAAGGGAGGUACGGCUGUCUUCUUCCUAAUGGUUACAGAUAGGCUGAGGUGUUCUGUGCCCUAACACCAGGGAUAAGUGUAACAGGAAAGAACAAAUCUGACUCCAUAUAUUGGGUCUGUUUCUUUUAUUUUAACCUUUGUAUUCUGUUGCUUUUGCUGCAAGUUAAAAAUGUUGCCUAUAGCAAGAAAUAUGCAGGAGAGCCCAUUCUCAAGGCUCUGAUUUUUUGAAAGGUAUAGCACUUUUCCAUUCAUACAGAGAUAAAAAGUUGCAGAACAGAGAAUAAUAUUUGUCUUUUUGGAGGUUUACAGGAACAUCAUGACCUGACCCGCAUGGACAGCUGCAAGAACAAAGGAUGUGGGCACCAAGAAGUUUCUACCAACCAUACCCCUUCCCCUUUUAGUAUAAUGGAGAAAAUGACUCUUUGGGACCCUAGCCCACCAUCUUCUCAGUCUUCUGGCUUUUGAAUAAAGUUACUAAUUCUUGC
ensembl:lncRNA